rnacentral:lncRNA from 1 species
GGUGCUAAAAUCUUAUGUGUCAAGGGCAUUGUGAUGGCGCGAUCCAUGUCUCCUGCUAGCGCUCGACGUCCCGUAGCCCCAAAGAGGAGGGCUCCAAGGUACUUUUGAUUGAAUGACUUAAUUUUUUCUCCUAUGUUGUGCUAGAGGACUAACUGAAACUAUGGCUCUGCUAUGUAUCAGGUUGGACAACAAGCUUCACUGGAUGAAAGCAUUUCCCUUCUAAAACAGAGUGCUGCUGAUAUGAAUGCACAAGUUAGUCUUGAUACUAAGAUGGUCAUGGAAUUGCUUGAUCUAUACUAGGUCAACAUGUCAGCCAACCACUUAAAAAUAAUCAUUUGCAUUUCUUCCUCUAAACUGUGAAACCUGACGAGUGAUGACGCAUCAGCAAUUUAGCAAUAGAAGAUGUCAGUGAACACGAGUGCCAGUCAAGAGCAAUGAAACGCUAGAUACUUUAGAGUGUAAUUUUAUAUAAGAAUAAAUAAAUGACACUUAAGUCAUUAAGCAAUUGUUGUUGAGGUAUUGUCUCACCCUUUAUCUGCUCUCUUUUAAACUGUGGAAUGCUAUGGGCUGGAGCUACAGGGGAGGAGGGAGGUAAGCGUGAAUGCAAUGAAUAUUGUUCGGAUAAAAAAUUGGGUGCAAACUGAGUACUGACGGUGAGACUUAUUCAUUUGUUUAUCCUUUUGCCCUUUUAAUCAAGAACAAUGUUCAGAGCUUACAUGGUUGCUGAAAUUUAAAUCUAUGAAAUAGAAAUAUUAAUACCAUACAAUGAUCAGUGCAGAGUAGGAUAGUUAUUGAGUUCUUCCUGAGUUUUCAUUGAGAAAAGAUUGGAACUGUGUGAUUUGUUCUGAACUUCUAAUACAAAGUAAAGAUGGUGUGCAUGGGAGGAGCUUGAAGUGGCAUUCCCAUGGAGGGAUGGCUGAUGGCAAGGCAAGUUUCUCUCAAUCCUUCUCCCCCCUUCACUCUUGAUGUCUAUCAGAAUAGAUUCACCUUUGUUCUGAUUUUUCUUUAUAUGUCCCAGGUGCUAAAAUCUUAUGUGUCAAGGGCAUUGUGAUGGCGCGAUCCAUGUCUCCUGCGAGCGCUCAGCAUCCCGGAGCCCCAAAGAGUAGGGCUUCAAGGUCCUUUUGAUUGAAUGACUUGAUUUAUUUCUCCUGUGUUGUGCUAGAGCUAACUGAAACUAUGGCUUUGCUAUGUAUCAGGCUGGACAACAAGCUUCACUGGAUGAAAGUGUUUCCCUUCUAAAACGGAGUGCUGCUGACAUGAAUGCACAAGUUAGUCUUGAUACUAAGAUUGUCAUGGAAUUGCUUGAUCUAUGCUAGGUCAAUAUGUCAGCCAACCACUUAAAAAUAAUCAAUUGCAUUUCUUCCUCUGAACUGUGAAACCUGACGAGUGAUGACGCAUCAGCAAUUUAGCAAUAGAAGAUGUCAGUGAACACGAGUACUCAGUCAAGAGCAAUGAAGCCUAGAUACUUUAGAGUGUAAUUUUAUAUAAGAAUAACUAAAUGACACUUAAGUCAUUGAGCAAUUGUUGUUGAGGUAUUGUCUCACCCUUUAUCUGCUCUGUUUUAAACUGUGUAAUGCUAUGGGCUGGAGCUACAGGGGAAGAGGGAGGUAAGCGUGGAUGCAAUGAAUAUUGUUCGGAUAAAAUAUUGUCUUCAGCCAUCUGUCUCGCUCUGGUUUUCCUGUAGUGUGGAGUUUCAACUCUCGAUCUGGUCCGCGUGUUAUUGAUUCAGCUGCCUCACCAUUGCAGGAAAUUAUUGUGUGCUUUAGAUUGGGAUGCUGAACCAGAUGAAAAAUGUCACUGCAGCUUUGAGUGCAGUCAUAGGUUUGAAUUGUAAACUGUAGCUGCUUAAAACUUUGGUAUAAAAUAAAGCCCUUACUGGUAGAUGAGGCACGUUAUUAGCAACGUUUCACAUUUUCUUACUUGCAAUACUAUGAUUGCCUGUUCAGGUCUUCCAAGACCUAAAUCAUCAUAAAUCCAGCACACACAACACCUUUUUUAAAACUUCGGUUACCCUGAUUAAGCCUCCGUUCAAUUUUCUUAUAUGGAGGGGUUAGAAAUAGUUACCUUGCUUGCUUGCUCGAAACUAAAUCUACUGAUAAACGGAAUUUUUUCAAACCACACAUGGUGUUUAGUGGGUCUCAUGAUGGAUUGGGUUGUGGUAGUAGUUCUUGGGUGCAAUAUCUAUCUUGAUAAAGCGAUCGAUCAGGGCGCAUCGGAGGCAGAAGAAGAGAAAAUGUUUCGGGUGUCUGUGGUGUUGAACAUUCACUGUUUAUGUGCUUUGUACAUGCACGACCAGUUCAGUAACUAGAUGGCCUUUUCUACUGUACUGGUGCUGCUACUUUUCACAUGCUAGCUUAUUUGAAAAGCGCCAACAGUGUGUGCCACUUGUAAACAGUCCAUGUUGAAAGAAUAGAAGCAGAAGUGUGGAGAUAAUGUAAUUGGUCAGUCAGGAAAUUCAGUCUCAAUGAGCUCAACUAAUGACAUGUGUGAGUUGAGCCUGAGGUGUUUUCCAAGUAACAACAGUAUUUUACUUUCCUUUUCAUGUUUGUGGUCGAUGGUACUUACAUGUUGUUCAGGUUAUCAAAGGACUGCAAUCAUUUACAUUUUGUAAACAAAUAAAACACUUUUAUGAAGCAUGUAGUAGACAAAUAGUGCUACUGAUAAAUGG